GGGUGCAGCAGGCGCGAAACCUUCACAAUGUGCGCAAGCACGAUGAGGGGAUCCCAAGUGCUGGCUCGCAAGAGUCAGCUGUUUCUCUGUCUAAAAAACAGAGAGAGUAAGUGCUGGGUAAGACGGGUGCCAGCCGCCGCGGUAAUACCUGCAGCACAAGUGGUGAUCGCUAUUAUUGGGCCUAAAACGUUCGUAGCCGGUUUCGUAAAUGCCUGGGUAAAUCGAAUAGCUUAACUAUUCGAAUUCCGGGUAGACUGCGAGGCUUGAGACCGGGAGAGGCUAGAGGUACUCCUAGGGUAGAGGUGAAAUUCUGUAAUCCUAGGGGGACCACCGGUGGCGAAGGCGUCUAGCCAGAACGGCUCUGACGGUGAGGGACGAAGCCCUGGGGCGCAAACCGGAUUAGAUACCCGGGUAGUCCAGGGUGUAAACGCUGCUCGCUUGAUGUUAGUUGGGCUCCGAGCCCACCUAGUGUCGGAGAGAAGUUGUUAAGCGAGCUGCCUGGGAAGUACGGUCGCAAGGCUGAAACUUAAAGGAAUUGGCGGGGGAGCACAGCAACGGGUGGAGCGUGCGGUUUAAUUGGAUUCAACGCCGGAAAACUCACCGGGGGCGUCGGUUACAUGAAGGCCAAGUUGAUGACUUUGCCUGAUUUUCCGAGAAGUGGUGCAUGGCCGUCGUCAGUUCGUACCGUGAGGCGUUCUGUUAAGUCAGACAACGAACGAGACCCUCAUCUUUAGUUGCUAU
rnacentral:rRNA from 1 species